GACGAACGCUGGCGGCGUGCUUAACACAUGCAAGUCGAGCGGAAAGGCCCUUCGGGGUACUCGAGCGGCGAACGGGUGAGUAACACGUGAGAAAUCUGCCCUGCACUCUGGGAUAGCCAUCGGAAACGGUGAUUAAUACUGGAUAUGAGCCACUACCGCAUGGUGGUGGUUGGAAAGUUUUUUCGGUGCAGGAUGUGCUCGCGGCCUAUCAGCUUGUUGGUGAGGUAAUGGCUCACCAAGGCUUCGACGGGUAGCCGGCCUGAGAGGGUGACCGGCCACACUGGGACUGAGACACGGCCCAGACUCCUACGGGAGGCAGCAGUGGGGAAUAUUGGACAAUGGGCGGAAGCCUGAUCCAGCAACGCCGCGUGAGGGAUGACGGCCUUCGGGUUGUAAACCUCUUUCAGUACAGACGAAGCGCAAGUGACGGUAUGUAUAGAAGAAGGACCGGCCAACUACGUGCCAGCAGCCGCCGUAA
rnacentral:rRNA from 1 species